AUGAUUUAAAAUGUAAAGUAAAAUAUUGUUUUGUUGAAAAUUUUAUACGAGACAAAAGAAAAUAUAUUUGAACAAAAUGUUUUAACAAGAUUUUGACAAAUUUGACGUGGCAACAAACUUUUAAAAUUUUUAUUACAAAAAGCUUUAAUAAGUGAACAGUUACACGUGCGGCAUUGGUUUCUUUGGAAAUUGAAAGGGAGAAGUGAAUUAGAGAGAGAAAGGGAGAACGGGCGAAAGAGAGAAGUGAAAGAGAGAGAGAAAACGAAGUUCCGCCACACUCUCGCUGAAAUAGCAGGAGACACAGAGAGAGCGAAAGACAGUAAUCCCUUGGAGCAUUGCAGGCAGAAAGUGAAAGAGAGAUAGACACCGAAAUACAGAAAUUUUUUUGAGCAGUGGUGGAGACAGAGACGGAGAGAGAAAAAGUGUUGCAAAGGAAAAAGAGAGGAACAAUCAUUGAAGACAUCGAGAGAAUGAGAGAAGUGAAGCACUGCAGACUAGUGGUGGAAAGUUGGACGCAUUGCAGCUGUUUGGGUGGGUUACCAGAGACAGGGAGUAGCGGAAGUCGUUGACGACAACCGUUUCAUCGUGCCCACCGUACCAUUGAACCCUUCUGUGAUCCCAUUUCAUUUAUUUAACCCAAAGGAGUACAAAAUGGACAACAAACGUGAUGAAUAUGUUGAUUGCACUGAGGAGAAGAAGAUGUGUUAAUUUGGAGUCAUGUAUUGAUCUUUCUUCAAUUAUAAUGAAUGACGUUUACCUGUUUGUUAUGUUUUUCAGAUGUUAUUUCGUCAUUGCUGCAAAACAAAGUUUAUCGGUGCUUUAAACAAUACAUUAAGUGUGCAACAAAAGGAGUAUAUUGCAGUCACUCCUUUUUGGUGGUUCACCAUGUUAAAUGAUUUGGUCAAGAUAACUAGAAAUCUUUUAAGUCAUUUAUGUUAUAAAUGGGUUGAAAGAAGGGGCAGUUUUGAUGUUGGUGGCCAAGUCGUGGAAUUUAAUCUAUUAAAUGUUUGUUUAGGGUUAGGUUUGAGGAUUUUGGGUGAAAGAAAUGAUUUAAAUGAGAUAGUUGUGGAUAGUGACAAUUGGAAUAUUUUUGGGGGUGAAAUAAUUAAUGUUAAGUUGAUAUAUGAUUAUCUUUUGAAAUUUGAUGAUGAUAUUGGUGGUGUAUAAGUCUUUUGUAGGAUUAUCUUUUGAAUAACAGCUAACUUUUUACAAGCACGUCGUAGUAUUGAAGGACGUCAUGCCUGUGGAUAUUGUCAACAUUUAGAAUCCAAUCCCAAAUGUAUUGUUGUCU